GGGUGAGUAACACGUGGAUAACCUACCUAUAAGACUGGGAUAACUUCGGGAAACCGGAGCUAAUACCGGAUAAUAUUUUGAACCGCAUGGUUCAAAAGUGAAAGACGGUCUUGCUGUCACUUAUAGAUGGAUCCGCGCUGCAUUAGCUAGUUGGUAAGGUAACGGCUUACCAAGGCAACGAUGCAUAGCCGGCCUGAGAGGGUGAUCGGCCACACUGGAACUGAGACACGGUCCAG
rnacentral:rRNA from 1 species